rnacentral:tRNA from 1 species
GCCUCUUUGGCGCAGUGGUAACGCGUAGCACUUGUACCGAUACAGCGAUGCUAAGAUCACAGGUUCGAUUCCUGUAGGAGGCA